rnacentral:lncRNA from 12 species
UAAUCAGUUCAGCCUCUUUUGGGUGAGGAUUGCCUUAAAUGUAUCCAUACAUGCCUGCUGACUGGCCGUUUGGUGAUGUAUCUGUUCGAUCUGCAGGAUCCCCAGAGGAAACGUGGGAAUGCUCAACCCAGCAUACAGCAUGUCAAGGCUGGGAGGUUUCCCGUUGAAGACUGGAUGUGCUGGAAGUGUUCCUGAUCUUUUAGUGAUAAAAAGGAAAAACAAAAGUAUUCUCAUGCCCAGGACACAAUAGAAAGCAGC